AUGGGCGCGGCCGAGCAGCAUCAGCACCCGCCGGCGCCGGAGGGGGAGAAGAAGACUUUGGUGUUCACGUACGGCACGCUGAAGCGGGGCUUCUCCAACCACGGGCUGCUGCAGGACCUUGCGCGCGCGGGGGACGCGGCCUUCGUUGCCGCCGCCUCCACGGCCGCCCCGCUGCCGCUCGUCUGCGGGCCCUACCGCGUCCCCUUCCUCCUCAACCUCCCCGGUGAUGGCCAGCGCGUCAGGGGCGAGCUCUACUCGGUGACCGCCAGGGGCCUCGCCCGGCUCGACGAGCUCGAGGGCGUCUCACGGGGGCACUACGAGCGCCUCCCCAUCUCCAUCGUUGUGGAGGAGCGGGAGGGGGAGGAGGGAAGGGCCGUGGAGGGCGCGGUGGCGUACUACGCGCACCGCGGGUACGCGGCGGAGAUGUGGGCGCGGAGCGGGCGGAGGGGCCACGCCGAGUACUCGCCGGCGGUCGCCGCCGGGUACGUCCGCCGCGUGGACCGGCCCCAGCACCUCACCUUCCUCGACCAGAUCCGCGUCUUCGUAUCCUCCCACUCCUAG
rnacentral:rRNA from 1 species